rnacentral:rRNA from 1 species
CGCAGCCUGAUCCAGCCAUGCCGCGUGUCUGAAGAAGGCCUUCGGGUUGUAAAGGACUUCUUUCAGGGAAGAAAAGCUUUGGGUUAAUACCCUGGAGUGAUGACGGUACCUGAAGAAUAAGCACCGGCUAACUACGUGCCAGCAGCCGCGGUAAUACGUAGGGUGCGAGCGUUAAUCGGAAUUACUGGGCGUAAAGCGAGCGCAGACGGUUUGUUAAGCAGGAUGUGAAAUCCCCGGGCUCAACCUGGGAACUGCGUUCUGAACUGGCAGGCUAGAGUAUGUCAGAGGGGGGUAGAAUUCCUCGUGUAUUAGUGUAAUGCGUAUAGAUGUGGAUUAUUACCGAUGGUGAAGGCAGUUUUCCUGGCAUAAUACUGACGUUCAUGCUCGAAAGCGUGGGUAGCAAACAGGAUUAGAUACCCUGGUAGUCCACGCCCUAAACGAUGUCAAUUAGCUGUUGGGGUGCAUGACACCUUAGUAGCGUAGCUAACGCGUGAAAUUGACCGCCUGGGGAGUACGGUCGCAAGAUUAAAACUCAAAGGAAUUGACGGGGACCCGCACAAGCGGUGGAUGAUGUGGAUUAAUUCGAUGCAACGCGAAGAACCUUACCUGGUCUUGACAUGUACGGAAUCCUCCAGAGACGGAGGAGUGCCUUCGGGAGCCGUAACACAGGUGCUGCAUGGCUGUCGUCAGCUCGUGUCGUGAGAUGUUGGGUUAAGUCCCGCAACGAGCGCAACCCUUGUCAUUAGUUGCCAUCAUUUAGUUGGGCACUCUAAUGAGACUGCCGGUGACAAACCGGAGGAAGGUGGGGAUGACGUCAAGUCCUCAUGGCCCUUAUGACCAGGGCUUCACACGUCAUACAAUGGUCGGUACAGAGGGUAGCCAAGCCGCGAGGUGGAGCCAAUCCCAAAAAACCGAUCGUAGUCCGGAUUGCACUCUGCAACUCGAGUGCAUGAAGUCGGAAUCGCUAGUAAUCGCAGGUCAGCAUAAUGCGGUGAAUACGUUCCCGGGUCUUGUACACACCGCCCGUCACAGCAUGGGAGUGGGGGAUACCAGAAGUAGGUAGGGUAACCGCAAGGAGCCCGCUA